rnacentral:rRNA from 1 species
AGCAUCAGGUAACAUCAAAUCGUACCCCAAACCGACACAGGUGGUCAGGUAGAGAAUACCAAGGCGCUUGAGAGAACUCGGGUGAAGGAACUAGGCAAAAUGGUGCCGUAACUUCGGGAGAAGGCACGCUGAUAUGUAGGUGAAGUCCCUCGCGGAUGGAGCUGAAAUCAGUCGAAGAUACCAGCUGGCUGCAACUGUUUAUUAAAAACACAGCACUGUGCAAACACGAAAGUGGACGUAUACGGUGUGACGCCUGCCCGGUGCCGGAAGGUUAAUUGAUGGGGUCAGCGCAAGCGAAGCUCUUGAUCGAAGCCCCGGUAAACGGCGGCCGUAACUAUAACGGUCCUAAGGUAGCGAAAUUCCUUGUCGGGUAAGUUCCGACCUGCACGAAUGGCGUAAUGAUGGCCAGGCUGUCUCCACCCGAGACUCAGUGAAAUUGAACUCGCUGUGAAGAUGCAGUGUACCCGCGGCAAGACGGAAAGACCCCGUGAACCUUUACUAUAGCUUGACACUGAACAUUGAGCCUUGAUGUGUAGGAUAGGUGGGAGGCUUAGAAGUGUGGACGCCAGUCUGCAUGGAGCCGACCUUGAAAUACCACCCUUUAAUGUUUGAUGUUCUAACGUUGACCCGUAAUCCGGGUUGCGGACAGUGUCUGGUGGGUAGUUUGACUGGGGCGGUCUCCUCCUAAAGAGUAACGGAGGAGCACGAAGGUUGGCUAAUCCUGGUCGGACAUCAGGAGGUUAGUGCAAUGGCAUAAGCCAGCUUGACUGCGAGCGUGACGGCGCGAGCAGGUGCGAAAGCAGGUCAUAGUGAUCCGGUGGUUCUGAAUGGAAGGGCCAUCGCUCAACGGAUAAAAGGUACUCCGGGGAUAACAGGCUGAUACCGCCCAAGAGUUCAUAUCGACGGCGGUGUUUGGCACCUCGAUGUCGGCUCAUCACAUCCUGGGGCUGAAGUAGGUCCCAAGGGUAUGGCUGUUCGCCAUUUAAAGUGGUACGCGAGCUGGGUUUAGAACGUCGUGAGACAGUUCGGUCCCUAUCUGCCGUGGGCGCUGGAGAACUGAGGGGGGCUGCUCCUAGUACGAGAGGACCGGAGUGGACGCAUCACUGGUGUUCGGGUUGUCAUGCCAAUGGCACUGCCCGGUAGCUAAAUGCGGAAGAGAUAAGUGCUGAAAGCAUCUAAGCACGAAACUUGCC